UAAAACCAGCACCUCAAGUGGUCAGGAUGAUUAUUGGGCCUAAAGCAUCCGUAGCCUGUUCUGUAAGUUUCCGGUUAAAUCCAUUAGCUCAACUAAUGGGCUGCCGAAAAUACUGCAGAACUAGGGAGUGGGAGAGGUAGACGGUACUCGGUAGGAAGGGGUAAAAUCCUUUGAUCUAUUGAUGACCACCAGUGGCGAAGGCGGUCUACCAGAACACGUUCGACGGUGAGGGAUGAAAGCUGGGGGAGCAAACCGGAUUAGAUACCCGGGUAGUCCCAGCUGUAAACGAUGCAGACUCGGUGAUGCGCUGGCUUGUGGCCAGUGCAGUGCCGCAGGGAAGCCGUUAAGUUUGCCGCCUGGGAAGUACGUACGCAAGUAUG
rnacentral:rRNA from 1 species